rnacentral:rRNA from 1 species
AUGAACCGUUAUAACCGGCGAUUUCCGAAUGGGGAAACCCAGUGUGUUUCGACACACUAUCAUUAACUGAAUCCAUAGGUUAAUGAGGCGAACCGGGGGAACUGAAACAUCUAAGUACCCCGAGGAAAAGAAAUCAACCGAGAUUCCCCCAGUAGCGGCGAGCGAACGGGGAGCAGCCCAGAGCCUGAAUCAGUGUGUGUGUUAGUGGAAGCGUCUGGAAAGGCGCGCGAUACAGGGUGACAGCCCCGUACACAAAAAUGCACAUGCUGUGAGCUCGAUGAGUAGGGCGGGACACGUGGUAUCCUGUCUGAAUAUGGGGGGACCAUCCUCCAAGGCUAAAUACUCCUGACUGACCGAUAGUGAACCAGUACCGUGAGGGAAAGGCGAAAAGAACCCCGGCGAGGGGAGUGAAAAAGAACCUGAAACCGUGUACGUACAAGCAGUGGGAGCACGCUUAGGCGUGUGACUGCGUACCUUUUGUAUAAUGGGUCAGCGACUUAUAUUCUGUAGCAAGGUUAACCGAAUAGGGGAGCCGAAGGGAAACCGAGUCUUAACUGGGCGUUAAGUUGCAGGGUAUAGACCCGAAACCCGGUGAUCUAGCCAUGGGCAGGUUGAAGGUUGGGUAACACUAACUGGAGGACCGAACCGACUAAUGUUGAAAAAUUAGCGGAUGACUUGUGGCUGGGGGUGAAAGGCCAAUCAAACCGGGAGAUAGCUGGUUCUCCCCGAAAGCUAUUUAGGUAGCGCCUCGUGAAUUCAUCUCCGGGGGUAGAGCACUGUUUCGGCAAGGGGGUCAUCCCGACUUACCAACCCGAUGCAAACUGCGAAUACCGGAGAAUGUUAUCACGGGAGACACACGGCGGGUGCUAACGUCCGUCGUGAAGAGGGA